CAGUCGCCGCGGUAACACGUAGGGUGCGAGCGUUAAUCGGAAUUACUGGGCGUAAAGCGUGCGCAGGCGGUUUUGUAAGACAGGCGUGAAAUCCCCGGGCUCAACCUGGGAAUGGCGCUUGUGACUGCAAAGCUAGAGUGCGGCAGAGGGGGAUGGAAUUCCGCGUGUAGCAGUGAAAUGCGUAGAUAUGCGGAGGAACACCGAUGGCGGAGGCAAUCCCCUGGGCCUGCACUGACGCUCAUGCACGAAAGCGUGGGGAGCAAACAGGAUUAGAUACCCGAGUAGUCCCUGUCUCUUAUAC
rnacentral:rRNA from 1 species